rnacentral:lncRNA from 1 species
CGAAUGAGAGAGCAAAUGUGAAAUUGAGAACUCUGAUCCUGUGUCGAGAAUGGACCCCAGCAAUGCUAGAAGAUGCAGCAGCCUACAAUUGGUUCUCACCAGAAUUUAUGGCUCGAGAAGGAAACUGCUUCACAUUAUUGAGGUUAUGUCCGAGUCUGCCCUUUCUCAUGCCUGACACCUCAGAAUGGUGGAGGAGACAGACGGGAUCCAGCAUCCCGGACUUGUCAAAACCACUUUUCUCAUCAGUAACCCUGCUGGCUCAGCCAAGGUAUGUGCAUGCCUUGCUGCAGUGAGGACUGAUUAAGUAGUUGUCCACACUUGACUUUCUUAUGAUUUAAACAGAAACAUGACUCCUCCCUGCUCCUGAGUGUUUCUCAGUCCCUGUAGGGUGAGCCAUGUUACCUUGAAGUAGACCAGUAGCCACAAGAAAGCCUAUCCUGGAUACUGGGCUAUAGUCAUCACAGCCUGGACUUCUGAUAACAGAUUUCUUCGACUCAGCACUCUGCAUCCACAGAGAUAUUGAUUUUCCACAGAUGGACAUGCCCUCCUCACGAGUGCUCUUUCAAAGGUCAAGUGAUGUAGGAAACCAGCAUACCACACUUUGGAACUGAUGAGAACAGCACCUGCAGAGACAACAGCAUGCUAUCAAGGCUUCCUGU